rnacentral:rRNA from 1 species
CGGGGUGAGUAAUGUCUGGGAAACUGCCUGAUGGAGGGGGAUAACUGCUGGAAACGGUAGCUAAUACCGCAUAACGUCGCAAGACCAAAGAGGGGGACCUUCGGGCCUCUUGCCAUCGGAUGUGCCCAGAUGGGAUUAGCUAGUAGGUGGGGUAACGGCUCACCUAGGCGACGAUCCCUAGCUGGUCUGAGUGGAUGGCCAGCCACACUGGAACUGAGACACGGUCCAG